rnacentral:rRNA from 1 species
GCGAACCUGGAGAACUGAAACAUCUAAGUACCCAGAGGAAAAGACAUCAACCGAGAUUCCGAAAGUAGUGGCGAGCGAAAUCGGAACAGCCUUCUAGUGAUAGUCAGACGGUUAACAAAACGGAAUGGAAAGUCCGGCCAUAGUAGGUGAUAGCCCUGUAUGUGAAAACCGACUGGUGGUACUGAGCUAGAGAAAAGUAGGGCGGGGCACGAGAAACCCUGUCUGAAUAUGGGGGGACCAUCCUCCAAGGCUAAAUACUCAUCAUCGACCGAUAGUGAACCAGUACCGUGAGGGAAAGGCGAAAAGAACCCCGGGAGGGGAGUGAAAUAGAUCCUGAAACCGCAUGCUUACAAAAAGUAGGAGCCCGCAAGGGUGACUGCGUACCUUUUGUAUAAUGGGUCAGCGACUUACAUUCAGUGGCAAGGUUAACCGAAUAGGGGAGCCGUAGAGAAAUCGAGUCCGAAUAGGGCGUCCAGUCGCUGGGUGUAGACCCGAAACCAAGUGAUCUAUCCAUGGCCAGGAUGAAGGUGCCGUAACAGGUACUGGAGGUCCGAACCGACUAGUGUUGCAAAACUAGCGGAUGAGCUGUGGAUAGGGGUGAAAGGCUAAACAAACUUGGAAAUAGCUGGUUCUCUCCGAAAACUAUUUAGGUAGUGCCUCAAGUAUUACCUGCGGGGGUAGAGCACUGUUUAGGCUAGGGGGUCAUGGCGACUUACCAAACCUAUGCAAACUCCGAAUACCGCAGAGUACAGCUUGGGAGACAGAGCACCGGGUGCUAACGUCCGGACUCAAGAGGGAAACAACCCAGACCGCCAGCUAAGGUCCCUAAAAUUGGCUAAGUGGGAAACGAAGUGGGAAGGCUAAAACAGUCAGGAUGUUGGCUUAGAAGCAGCCAUCAUUUAAAGAAAGCGUAAUAGCUCACUGAUCGAGUCGUCCUGCGCGGAAGAUGUAACGGGGCUAAGCCAGUUACCGAAGCUGCGGAUUUGCAAUUUAUUGCAAGUGGUAGGAGAGCGUUCUGUAAGCCUGUGAAGGUGCCUGGUAACGGGUGCUGGAGGUAUCAGAAGUGCGAAUGCUGACAUGAGUAGCGUUAAAGGGGGUGAAAAGCCCCCUCGCCGUAAGCGCAAGGUUUCCUACGCAACGUUCAUCGGCGUAGGGUGAGUCGGCCCCUAAGGCGAGGCAGAGAUGCGUAGCUGAUGGGAAACAGGUCAAUAUUCCUGUACCGAUGUGUAGUGCGAUGUGGGGACGGAGAAGGUUAGCUCAGCCAACUGUUGGAUAUGUUGGUUCAAGCCUGUAGUCGUGC